CGACGGGCGCAACGCCUGUCGGCAGAUCUCUCCCAUCCCCUGGAGCAGAUCUCGGAGCGGAAACUCCUCCCCAAGUUUCCGUUCCCUGGCCCCGCCGAC
rnacentral:sRNA from 1 species